rnacentral:rRNA from 1 species
GUCGAGGGGCAGCAUAAUGGAUAGCAAUAUCUAUGGUGGCGACCGGCGCACGGGUGCGUAACGCGUAUGCAACCUACCUUUAACAGGGGGAUAACACUGAGAAAUUGGUACUAAUACCCCAUAAUAUCAUAGAAGGCAUCUUUUAUGGUUGAAAAUUCCGAUGGUUAGAGAUGGGCAUGCGUUGUAUUAGCUAGUUGGUGGGGUAACGGCUCACCAAGGCGACGAUACAUAGGGGGACUGAGAGGUUAACCCCCCACACUGGUACUGAGACACGGACCAGACUCCUACGGGAGGCAGCAGUGAGGAAUAUUGGUCAAUGGACGCAAGUCUGAACCAGCCAUGCCGCGUGCAGGAUGACGGCUCUAUGAGUUGUAAACUGCUUUUGUACGAGGGUAAACGCAGAUACGUGUAUCCGUCUGAAAGUAUCGUACGAAUAAGGAUCGGCUAACUCCGUGCCAGCAGCCGCGGUAAUACGGAGGAUUCAAGCGUUAUCCGGAUUUAUUGGGUUUAAAGGGUGCGUAGGCGGUUUGAUAAGUUAGAGGUGAAAUUUCGGGGCUCAACCCUGAACGUGCCUCUAAUACUGUUGAGCUAGAGAGUAGUUGCGGUAGGCGGAAUGUAUGGUGUAGCGGUGAAAUGCUUAGAGAUCAUACAGAACACCGAUUGCGAAGGCAGCUUACCAAACUAUAUCUGACGUUGAGGCACGAAAGCGUGGGGAGCAAACAGGAUU